UCAUAACUUCAAAAAUUAUGCAACGGAAUAUUUGCAUUUUAAAUAGCAACAACAACAACGGUUAAAUUCUCCAAAACAAUAUCUUGGCAUAAAGCCUUAACAACAUAAUUCAUCCAUCAUAGGGCCACAACAUCAAGUUCUAAAAUAAGAUACAUAGGAAAGAAAACAAUAACAAGAAUAUUUCCCAUCCCACGUAUCAGAGCCUUAGACACGACACUUGAGCCACCACCGACUACUCAGGAUCACCUGCAAGUUACCCAUAGGAAGAGCAACAUUUUCAAGCAGAAGGGGUGAGAUUCACAACAAUAAAAUAUAGAUAUUAAAAUCUUCAAUUGAAUCUAACACCCUAAAACAUCAAAUCAUCUUGCAACUGUAAUUACAUAAUUUACAAGCAACAACUGUAUCACCAUCAAAUCAAUCCAUCAUAAUAUAUGUAUAAAUGUAUACUCAUCAAACAACAUCAUCAUCAUCAUCAAUAUAACAACCACAGCCAACAAUAAAGACUCAUGCAUGACAUGACGACACCACUACGACUCCUCAAUAUGCAAUUAUGCAUGUGGUACCAAACAGGACCGAAGCCCUCACCGCUUUUGAAUGAUUAAAGCAUUCAUCAGGACCGAAGCCCUCACCGCUGUGAACAACUAGUGCUCCAGGACAUGAGUCCUCUCCGCUGUUUAUGCAUAUGCAAUGGACCCACUCGUGUAUAUCUACAUACAACUAGACCAUGCAUACAUUCUCCAUAUGACUCCAAAUUAUACAACAUGUAUGGUUCAAUAAAUAAAUCAUACUUCUCAGCCAUCAACAACCAUUAAUCUAGCAAUCUAGAAUAAUGCAUAAUUAAAUAUAACUAUGCUCAAACAACAACACCAAGCACUACCAUUCAUGUACGUAAUUCAGCACUAAAAAACUGGGUAGCUCGCCUCGCGAGCACAUCUGCUCGCUAUGGCGAGUUCACAAAACAGGUUACUCGCCAUGGCGAGUUCAAGGCGAACUCGAGGCGAGUGAAAAGUAGGUGCUCUCGGAAGUUUUGAUAUUUUUCUCACUCAAACUUCAAUUCUAAGCUCCCUAUUCAUCUUUUUAACCUAAAACUUGCUCAAGUCAUCAUUAAAAUCAUUUAGGUACAUUAAACUAUCCCCUAAACAUCUUAUAACAACAAUUUAAAAAAUCCAGUUUUGAUCUGGGUUACUCGCCACAGCGAGUUGGUCUGCUCGCGAGGCGAGCUAUGAAGUUGCUCACUUGCCAUGGCGAGAAAGGCCAUUCGCGAGGCGAGCGAUGAACUUCUGUACGGGCAGAAAACAGGUUUUUCCCCAAAAUCCCAUUUUUCUUCAAAUCACUCCCCAAAUUAGUUUACAGAUGUGAAUUAACUUGCUAUAUGCAUUCAGAACCUAUUUCUAACCUCAGGACAACAAUCCUCACACUCAAAACCCAAUAAUUCACCAAGAACAUAAAUUCCCAAUUCCAACAUAAAACCUGUCAAACUUCAAAAUCAGAAUUAGCAUCUAUACUACUGAAGUAAAUCUCACCCUUACCUUAGAAAUUGCUGAAAAUGCACAGCAAAAAUCAGUUCUUGGCCUAACUUGCUCUUCUCUCCCAUUUCUCCCAAAAGUUGGUUUUCACGUACAAUGUUUUACUUAACUUCUUAUUUUCCUAACUUCCUACUUACUUAACUCCCUUCAUUUCAUUUAACUCCCUUUAAUUCUAUUAAAUAUUAAGUAACUCCCCAAACUCCAAAAUAAUUAUUAUUUCUCACUUAUUCUAAUUAUUAUUAAAAUAAACUAUAUUAUAAAAUAAACACACCACAUAAAUCACCAAAAAUCAUAUAUUAGACUCCACAUAAAUAAAAAAUAAAUAACACAACGAUUAGGGCGUUACAUAUAACGUGACGGAACCCCGACGGCACCAUAUCAAUGCACUUGAUGACAUAGAUCGAUAUGGAUGAGUGACAUGGAAAUUACAUGCAAUGUGAUAUCUAAAUCAUGUCUAUUUCCAACUGAUCCAACUGAAAACUUUAGUGAGAUCAAAAUGAAGUUUGCAAAUUCAAUAUUUGCACAAAAUGAUACAGAAAUGGUUAUAACAAAAAUAACCUCAUAAACUUUAUUUCUGCAGAAAAUCAUAACAUAUAGUCUGUAUCGAUAUCAAAACAAAAGUAUAGAACAUUAAAUAAAAGAGACUCCCACUAAUCCCCGAAAUCCUUAAUGACAACAACCAUAUGAAAGACCUUAGGUGUCAUGUCUUCGAUUAGUGGUAUAGCUAUCAUAAAGUUUGUCUCUACAUGUUCUAUCAUUCAACAACAAUAAUCUAUAAGGCAAUAAACUUUAUAAAGGUUGUUGAAUAACUAUAAGACUGAAUUAUGUCACUAUAUAACUUGAGUGGUCUUUCAGUACCUUUAACAAUAUGCAACCAAGUGACAUAAAUACUUACAGCCAUUUCAUGAGUUAGAAUGUGUAUUAUCUACUUACAUCCAAAAGACAGAGUGACACACAAAUGAUCUCCAAAUUGUCAGAUCUCUGAUGUGAGCAUAAGCUCUCUUGUUCUCUUUAAUAAUCCUUAUGGUUGCUUUUUCAACAAUUCAAACUUUGAAUUACUCAAAUAUCUGCCAAACAAUCUUAUUAAUACGCUAUUUCCAAAUGCGUAUAAUAAAAUCAUACAUAAAAAUCCCAUAGGAAAAGUGUAGGAAAAUACUUAAAUAUCUGAAUUCAUUAAUUUUCUAAUGGACAAUAUUUGAGACUAGAAAGUCUCACUCGAUGAUUGAGGUCAUCCAAAAAUUGUGUCAUUUUAUUUUGAACUUUAUUGAUAUAACUCUUUUGUGAUGUCUGAAUAAUACCUUGAGAAGAAUCUCUAAGUAUUAAAUGCAUAAUACAAAAGAGGUGUCCCCAAGAUCUUUCAUCACUAACUUUCGUUAGAGAUUUCCUUGGUUUCACAUAACAAACAUAUAUCAUGGUUGACUAAAUAAAAUAAAAUUGACAUAUUAAACUAUGAAUAUAAACUUUCUCCCACAUAAUUUGCUAAAUUUCUCAAAAUCAAAUGAGAUAAUUACUUUAUGAGAAUAUGUAGUAACAAUAAAGAGACAAAUUUCUUAACUCAUAAGUGGAUUUCAUGAUUUUGCAAAACAUCUACUUUGUAUCUAUUGACACAAGAGUUUUCUUAAGUUGCACCAUAUUGAAUCAUUAAUGUCACCAUUGAGAAACAAUGCAUUGACAUCCAUCUUAUGUAGCUUCAAAACUAUAACAAGUAAACUAGUGUUAUGACUGUCCUAAUAGAGUCUUUCAAUUACACUAAAUAUAAUUUCUCUUUCAAGUCAAUUCUUUAUGACACUAGAAGCCCUAGUUCUUGAGGGUGUUGAGUUUGAACUAUAUGAAUUAAUUUAACUUGAUUGAGAGGAAGAACAAUAAUGUCCUCAUGAGGAUCCAAAAAUACUAUAAUAGUAACUAUAUGAAUUAGUUUAGAACUAAAUUCUUCCUCAUUCAAUUUUGUUCUAUUACCAUAUCUCUCCUCCAAACUCAAUAUCCUCAAGAAAGCUUAACAAUUUAUGUCUCAAAAAAUUUCUUAAUUUGUGGGAUGAAAAACUUAUAGUAUUCAAAACCUUAAACAAUAUAGAAUGUCACAAGUCAUAACUGAAUUGACUCUAAUAAUUGAAUUUAAAAGACACAUUGAAUCAUCAUUUGUAAAUAAAACUCAAAACAUCUUCAUUUAUUCAAAGAGAAAUUAAAACAAAAAUUCAUUCAAAUAAUGAUUCACCAAAUUGUCUUUUAAAUACAAAAAUAAGCUAGUAACGACAAUCUAAAUUGUCUUUUCGACUUUGUCCAUUUUUUUUUUUAUAAGCAAGGAGAGUGGACAAACAUCAAGCGGCAUCAUCGACAUCCCAACUAGGUUGGCACCUCGAGACACCUCCAUCCUCUGCUGCCACACUCGAAAUAAUUUAUUAAAAAAGGGGGAAAAAUAAUUACAAAAAGAGGGGGGACUAGGCCAAAACCCUCAAAAUAAAACAGCAAAAAGAAAACAGAGAAAAUAACAGAAACAAUAGACCUCCAAAAACAAAUCAAGAGCAUCUAUAAUUCGGAAGUCCACAUCUAUCCCUAAAGAAUUCAAGACUCGCACUCGUAGGAAGAGUGUCUAACCAAACGACACCAGCUAUGUCAUGACCCAAAUAUGCCAACUUAUCUGCGCAACUGUUUCCUUCACGAAAAAUAUGAGAGGAAAUUACCUGAAUUCCAAGUAGCCAAGCAUUAUGCCAACGAAAGCAAAAUCUCUAACAUUCCAAUACAGGAAAUUCAUUGAUCACUCGAAUGAUUGUCACCCCGGGUACGGGAUUUAUUAGGCUGCUUUGCUAAGACUUGUUGUACCUUGAGUUUUUGUUUCUGUUUUCUUGUUAGAACAUGCAUGAAGUCUUCAGCUGCUGAUCUUUCAUCAUAUUCUCGGACUCUUGCCCACAAAUCUAAACCAUGCUGGAUAUUCUUGCUAGGAUGAACCUCUUGCUUUUGCAAAAUAACCACAUCUUGUUCCUUUUCCGUGGGCAUACUUCCACUAACAACACUGGGUGGUUCGACAACCACAUGUGAUUUCAAGGCAUGUGAUCCAGCAUACACGUCAUCGUGCUCAACAACAGUAUCCGUCUGAACCUGCACCGAUUCUAUAGACCCUUCAUGCACCUCUUGAUGCUCAACAACAUGUGAUGAAUGUGGUGCACUCUCAAUGGGAACUUUGGGACUCUCCUCCAGCUCCCUCAGGCUCGAAAGAUUGUGCUCACUCUCGUGAGAACCUUUGGGACUCUCUUCCAGCUCCCUCGGGCUCGAACGAUUGUGAUCCACCUCAUCUGAAAGCAAACCAGAGACAUCAUCCAUCGUGGGGUUCUCCAACACCUCCCUAGAUGUCAUAUGUAACUUCUCUACUGUCUCAGAAUGCACAUCAACAUGCGCAACAUAGGAAACAACUUCUAACACUGACAUAGUAUGUGGCAACUCUCCAGGAGAAAUUUUAUCAAACACAUUGUGUAAUGGAAAGCUGAAAGAAUUGGACGACAAAGACAUGUCCAUCUGAGAACUAGCCACUGUAGAAGUAACAACCGGCCCCAUCUGUGAAUUAAAGGUUAAAGUAGGGGCAGGAAAUGAAGCCGGAAUGGCUAGUGAAGCUGGUGCCAAUGAUGUAGGUGUAGGUGUAGAAAUAUCAGAGACCGGAACCCUCUGAGUGGUAGUAACAGUCGAAGCAACCGGAACCGGAACCCGUGUCCAAGUGCUACCAAAGGCCGACGUUGAAGCACCCACAUCCUUGUUGUUGUUGUUCUGCCGAGUAGGCUUAGGGGGUGCUACCUCGGCUACAACAAUCUGUUUCCCUCGAUCAAUCUUGUCCUUAGGUGCUUGCGGAUGUAACCAACGACAAGUAGAGACAUCGUGCCCAAUAGCGAAGCAGUGAUGACAAAACAACGGUCUCCGUUCAUAUUGGACCUCAACUUUGAAAGCAAAGUCAUCUCUCUCAACAAGAAUUUCAUCAAAAGUUCUUUUUGAAAGAUCAAUGUCCACUAAAAUUCUUGCAUAAUGUCCAAAGGUACGAUUUCGCGUCGGUCCAUCAAUGUCAAUCGGUGUACCUACCGCGCUUGCUAUUUCCUUCAAAAUUCUCUCCCGCCAAUAUUCCUGCGGUAACUCCACCAAUCGAAUCCAAAGUGAAACAUGAGUCUGUUUCUGAGCAAGAUAUUUGAAGUCUUUGGUCCAUUGUGAAAACCUUAACAAACCUGGCUUGAGGUUCACCGUGCCUGCUGCCCAUAUUUUUCUAAGGUCAUCUGCCGAGUCAAAGUGAAAGUCAUAAUAGCCUUUGCCUAGAGGCACCAUUUUCCAUCCUGCCGAUGUUUUCCAUACCUUGCCAAUUUUGUUGCUUAGAUCACGUGCAAAAUAUGGUUUGUCUCCUUUGUUAAGGGUCAAACGUGCCCUCAACACAUUCUUGCAAUCCUCUAGUCCCCUAUGAUACUCUUCCUGACAUAUUUUAAUGCUCAAAGCAUCACCCUUGAUACAUGGAGUAGGGAACGGACUGUCGUCAACAACUUUCUGUCCCGCUAGGGCUGCUGCAAAUGUCAUAUUCUGCUGCACAUUUGCUGAAGAAGAUGGUUGUUGCAUAAUUGUAGUGACUGUAGGUACAGUUACGGUGUCGGACACACACGGCCAGGAGCACGUGUAUGCCAUCAAUGGCCAAGCUGCAAUGCACCAAAACCAAUUCUAAUUAUGGGACACGCGUGGGUCAGCCUUUGUAACGCAACAGAGCAUUAGCGCGGCUGCGCGAUCUCAAAUUGAAGAAUCAGUGUCAGUGAACUACGAGGAACAAGUAGCGGUAUGGCGAUAGCUGUACAAUCGUGAAAUUGAGAAUACCAGUAACACAGCAGAGAGAAACCGAAACACAGCAGAGGAAACACAAUGCAAAUAUGGAAAACAAGAAUACCUGCACUGUGUCGUGAAAAUCCUAUGCCGUGAAAAGCCCAAACGCCGAAACUCAAUUGCACUGGGUGUUGAUUGCCGGAACCCCAAAUAUACUGCUUCAGUGCGAGACAGUUUUCUCUUGACUCAGACCUUGUUUCGACGAUCCGAACGGUGAAAACGUAGACCCAGGUGUUGCGAACCUGAUGUCCAAAAAUCAGCCCGAUCCGACGGUUAACGACUGAGAAAUCGAUGUUUUACUGAAGCAGGUUUCAGAAAAACGAGAAUCGCUCCAUAUUCACAAGGUUACAGCGGCGGCAGCUUUCCUAUGAGUUAAUAGUUCUUUCAAUAAGGUU
rnacentral:lncRNA from 1 species